AACGCGAAGAACCUUACCAAAUCUUGACAUCCCGAUGACAGACUGUGUAAAGCAGUUUCUCUUCGGAGCAUCGGUGACAGGUGGUGCAUGGUUGUCGUCAGCUCGUGUCGUGAGAUGUUGGGUUAAGUCCCGCAACGAGCGCAACCCUUGUCUUUAGUAGCCAGCAUUUAGGAUGGGCACUCUAGAGAGACUGCCAGGGAUAACCUGGAGGAAGGUGGGGAUGACGUCAAAUCAUCAUGCCCCUUAUGAUCAGGGCUACACACGUGCUACAAUGGCGUAAACAAAGGGAAGCGAUCACGCGAGUGUGAGCAAAUCCCAAAAAUAACGUCUCAGUUCGGAUUGUAGUCUGCAACUCGACUACAUGAAGCUGGAAUCGCUAGUAAUCGCGAAUCAGAAUGUCGCGGUGAAUACGUUCCCGGGUCUUGUACACACGC
rnacentral:rRNA from 1 species